UACGUAGGGUCCGAGCGUUGUCCGGAGUUACUGGGCGUAAAGCGCGCGCAGGCGGCUCGGCCAAGCAUGGCGUGAAAGCCCCCGGCUCAACCGGGGAGAGUCGUCGUGGACUGUCGAGCUUGAGGGCGGUAGGGGUUGGUGGAAUUCCCGGUGUAGUGGUGAAAUGCGUAGAGAUCGGGAGGAACACCCUGGCGAAGGCGGCCAACUGGGCCGACCCUGACGCUGAGGCGCGAAGGCGUGGGGAGCGAACGGGG
rnacentral:rRNA from 1 species